rnacentral:misc_RNA from 1 species
CAAAUGCGAUAAGUAAUGUGAAUUGCAGAAUUCAGUGAAUCAUCGAAUCUUUGAACGCACCUUGCGCUCCUUGGUAUUCCUUGGAGCAUGCCUGUUUGAGUAUCAUGAAAUCUUCAAAGUAAAUCUUUUGUUAACUCAAUUGGUUUCUACUUUGGUAUUGGAGGUCUUUGCAGCUUCACACCUGCUCCUCUUUGUUCAUUAGCUGGAUCUCAGUGUUAUGCUUGGUUCCACUCGGCGUGAUAAGUUAUCUAUCGCUGAGGACACUGUAAAAGGUGGCCAAGGUAAAUGCAGAUGAACCGCUUCUAAUAGUCCAUUGACUUGGACAAUACUUUUAUGAUCUGAUCUCAAAUCAGUUAGGACUACCCGCUGAACUUAAGC